UACGAGAGGCCCAAACGUUAUUCGGAUUUACUGGGCUUAAAGAGUUCGUAGGCGGUUCGUCAAGUGAGGUGUGAAAGCCCUCGGCUCAACCGAGGAAUUGCGCUUCAAACUGUCGGGCUCGAGGGAGAUAGAGGUGAGCGGAACUGAUGGUGGAGCGGUGAAAUGCGUUGAUAGUCAUCAGGAACACCAGAGGCGAAAGGCGGCUCACUGGGUCUCUUCUGACGCUGAGGAACGAAAGCUAGGGGGGCAAACGGG
rnacentral:rRNA from 1 species